rnacentral:rRNA from 1 species
UACAGAGGUCUCAAGCGUUGUUCGGAUUCAUUGGGCGUAAAGGGUGCGUAGGUGGCGCCGGUAAGUCGGGUGUGAAAUCUCGGGGCUUAACUCCGAAACUGCAUUCGAUACUGCCGUGUCGUUGAGGGACUGGGAGAGGAGACGUAGGUAAAUUUGACGGUGUAGCGGUGAAAUGCGUAGAUAUCGUAAGGAAGACCAGUGGCGAAGGCGGGUCUCUGGACAGUUCCUGACGCUGAGGCACGAAGGUCAGGGGAGCAAACGGG